AUUGAACGCUGGCGGCAGGCUUAACACAUGCAAGUCGAGCGGGGAAAGGUAGCUUGCUACCUGACCUAGCGGCGGACGGGUGAGUAAUGCUUAGGAAUCUGCCUAUUAGUGGGGGACAACAUUCCGAAAGGAAUGCUAAUACCGCAUACGCCCUACGGGGGAAAGCAGGGGAUCUUCGGACCUUGCGCUAAUAGAUGAGCCUAAGUCAGAUUAGCGAGUUGGUGGGGUAAAGGCCUACCAAGGCGACGAUCUGGAGCGGGUCUGAGAGGAUGAUCCGCCACACUGGGACUGAGACACGGCCCAGACUCCUACGGGAGGCAGCAGUGGGGAAUAUUGGACAAUGGGCGAAAGCCUGAUCCAGCCAUGCCGCGUGUGUGAAGAAGGCCUUUUGGUUGUAAAGCACUUUAAGCGAGGAGGAGGCUACUUGGAUUAAUACUCUAGGAUAGUGGACGUUACUCGCAGAAUAAGCACCGGCUAACUCUGUGCCAGCAGCCGCCGUAA
rnacentral:rRNA from 1 species